rnacentral:rRNA from 1 species
CUACGGGCUGCAGCAGUGAGGAAUAUUGCACAAUGGGGGGAACCCUGAUGCAGCAACGCCGCGUGGAGGAUGACGCAUUUCGGUGUGUAAACUCCUUUUAUAUGUCAAGAAAAUGACGGUAGCAUAUGAAUAAGCACCGGCUAACUCCGUGCCAGCAGCCGCGGUAAUACGGAGGGUGCAAGCGUUACUCGGAAUCACUGGGCGUAAAGGAUGAGUAGGCGGGUUGGAAAGUCAGGUGUGAAAUCCUACAGCUUAACUGUAGAACUGCACUUGAAACUUGUAAUCUAGAGUAUGGGAGGGGGAGAUGGAAUUAGUGGUGUAGGGGUAAAAUCCGUAGAUAUCACUAGGAAUACCUAAAGCGAAGGCGAUCUCCUGGAACAUUACUGACGCUAAGGCGUGAAAGCGUGGGGAGCAAACAGGAUUAGAUACCCUAGUAGUC